rnacentral:rRNA from 1 species
CAGGCCUGGCGGAGCCCGCCGCGUGAGUGAUGAAGGGCUUCGGGUCGUAAAACUCUGUUGUUAGGGAAGAACGGUGUGUGAGUAACUGUGCGGUCUUGACGGUACCUAAUCAGAAAGCCACGGCUAACUACGUGCCAGCAGCCGCGGUAAUAA